ACGCUCGACACCUACGGAGGCAGCAGUGAGGAAUAUUGGUCAAUGGACGCAAGUCUGAACCAGCCAUGCCGCGUGCAGGAUGACGGCUCUAUGAGUUGUAAACUGCUUUUGUACGAGGGUAAACGCAGAUACGUGUAUCUGUCUGAAAGUAUCGUACGAAUAAGGAUCGGCUAACUCCGNGCCAGCACGCCGGACGGUUAAUCUGGACGGCCGGGUCGUCGGACGAAGGC
rnacentral:rRNA from 1 species